rnacentral:lncRNA from 1 species
ACAUUUUGGAUCCAAGGACCAAUAGGUUGACUCAUUCACUAGUGGAGAGUAUCAAAGAAAGAAAAAUUUAAAAACUAAACAACAGAUUUGACAAGCUGCCUGCCAUCUGAAAGUGAGAAAGAAUGUGAUAUUAAUUGAGCAUCUUCUGAGCAAGCUAUAUGCUGUACAUAUGCUUUUCUUCAAAACAUCCCUUCAAGAAAAUGAUACAUCUAUUUCAGAAUGUGACAGAAAAACACCAAUAGGCAGGAAAGAGGGGGCGGAAGGAAUUCACCGUACUCUCCAGUACCCCAGUUGCUGGCUGGUUAAUGAAGCAUUCUUCUCAUCAAGCUGCCUCAGUUAUUUACCAAGAGAAUGACAACCCAUUCCCCACCCCCAGCUCGAACACCCACUGUGAUCAGCUCCCUCACUUCAUGACAAUGAGGCGAUAUGUGUGGGACUGGUUUUCGCAUAACUACAAAGCUUCAAAAAAAAAGUGAGAAUAAAUAUUUACUUCCAGUGUAUUUCAAGCAACACAGAAGGAAAAUCUUCAAUAUUAAACUGACUUAUUUCCAACGAUAUCUUGCAUUUUACUGUGGGUAAAAUGAAUACUUUGAAUAAGAUUUUCCAAUUUUAGACAAAAAGAGGGCAAUUUUUUGAUGAUAGGUUUCAUCUGCUGUGACAAAUGUUAGUGUGAUCCACUUGCUUGAGGGCUCGUAUAAUCAUUUCAUAGCGUGUGUGUGUGUGUGUGUGUGUGUGUGUGUGUGUAUGUGUGUGUAUACACCUCACAUAGGCAGGACAGAAGAAAUGAGUGUAGAAUCAAGCUCAUACUGGAUGUCUGAUGUGUACAAUGCAUGUGCAUAUGCAUUUGAGUUUGGAAAAAAUUCCCAAGCUAUACAUGGAAUUUUUUUUUUAAGUUAGUCACUUUUUGGUCCCACAGCUUUUAUUUUGGAGCUUUUCUGGUAAAAAGGACAUCUCUAUCCAAUAUCACCUGGACGAGAGUGCUGUUCAAACACAGGUGCUAUUACUUCAGCCCAUUUCUAGCUCAUGAUCUAAGAAAUAUGCUCUGCUGAGUAGAGUUCCAUAAAAGCAGGGCCUGUGACUCAGUCAUCUCUGUCCCUCAUGAUACUCAGGACAGCAAACAAAUGCUUUCCAAACAAUUUCAGAGUGAAUUCUAGGAGGGCUAUUUCAAGGUCAACUCUAUAAUUUAUCUCCUUGUUGGCUUUCUUCCCUCAUCUCACAACUUCCAAAAAUCCGGCCAAGGGGCAUUCAUAUUCACAUGCUGGAAAUGAUUUAAUUCUAUCUUCUAUAUGGAUAUCACUAACUUGGCAUGAAAA